CAGUGGUUCUCAACCUUAUUUGCACAUUGGAAUCUCCUGGGUAGCUUUAGAAACUACUGAAGCCUUUGUCCUACCCCGAGAGAUCUUGAUUUAUUUGGUCUGGGGAGCAAACUGGGCAUUGGGAUAUUUUUAAAGUCCCCCAGCUGAUUCUAAUUUACAGCCAAGAUUGCUAACCACAGUGCUAGGAAAUGGCCUCAGGCAGAUCUUUCGCGUAAGUGUAGAAAAAGUUCUCCGGGUUCCUCUUAGGGGAGAGACCAUUUUUAUCUGCUGCUCACUGAGAAGCAGAGAGAAAGGAGGCUGCCUAGUUGCCAGGAGGAACAUUGACCUGCCACAGCCUCCUACAUCUGUCCUAGAAGUGAAGUCCAUUUUCUGCUAAAGACAAAAAGAGAAGUGAAUUCCGUAAUCUACAAACCAAUUUCCUUCACUCCCUACUGGUGUUGGUGGCUUUCCUCGCGGGAUAACCCUGACCAUCCUGAGCCUCUGGUCACCCUGCUUCCUUCAAGUCUGAGUUGCACUAGUCCACUGGCCAUUAAGCUUAAGCAAGUGGAUCACGUCCUCUCACUCUAUCCUUCCUAACAACUUCAUAAUGAAGAUUAAUGGGACGUGGCUGGAUAUUCCAUGUCUUGCUGCAAGGGUGUUUACUGAAUUCUAUACUGGAUACUGACUCUGGGAAGCUCUCAAAGAAGCAAUGAAUUACAGAUAGAUUCUGGUUCUGCUGCUUCCUUCUGCCAAGUCCUAGGAAAUAGACAUUAUUCCCUCGUUAUUCAAAUGAGGUAAUUGGAGCACAGAGGUUUGUGAAUCACCCAAGUCACAUAGGAUUCUAUCCAGGGCUCUACAUUACACGUCGUUAUGUUUUUUUAGGCUCCUCUUGGAGAUGGCAGUUUCUCAGACAUUGUUGUUUUUGAUAAGCUUGAUAGUUUUGAAGAGUCUCGGUCAGUUGGUUCCAGAUCUCGCCAUUGGAGCUCUUUCCAUUGGCUCCUGUGUCCUUCAGCAUAUCUCCAUCUGUUUUCCUGGCUGAAUUCAAGCUUCCUUGGUGAGGUGGAGAAUAAGAACAGACACCUUCUAAGGACUGAGUAUCUGUGCCCCUCCCAAAUUCAUGUGUUGAAGCCUCAAUACCAAUGUGAUGGAUUUCAGAGAUGGGGACUUUCGGAAGCAAUUAGGUCGUGAGGGUGGAGCCUUCAUAAUGGCAUUACAGCCCUUUUAUAAGAGACACAAAAGAGCUUGCUGGCUCGCUCUCUCUCUCUCUCUCUGCCGUGUGAGGAUCCAAGGAGAUGGCCAUCUGCAAACCAGGAAGAGGGCUCUCUCGGGAACCUGACCAUGCCGCACCAUCAGCUUGGACUUCCAGCCUCCAGAAUUGUGAGAGAGAAAUUUCUGUGGUUUAAGCCACCCUAUCUAUGGUAUUUGUUAUGGCAGCCUGAGCAGACUAAGGCAAGCCGUAAAGAGGAAAAUAUAAUAAAUUCUCCUGAAUUCUGUAUAACAUUAGCCAUUAAUCUACAUCAAUAUAUGGUGACGAUAUAUAAGUGGAAUGUACAAUGCAUAAAAUAUGCAUAUAUUAAGGUAAAGUAGGUAAUAAUGUUUAUCUUAAAUUACACAGACCCAUUUAGACUCUUUUGGUUUUAUAAUUUGGCUUGUUUUGUUACUAUCUCGAUGAAUUGCUUAUUCAUUUCAAAUUUUAUAACAUGUAUUUCUCCUUUGAGGAAAUGUAGACGAUUGAUAUUGGGAUAGAGCUUAAAUUGUGAGAAAUUACUCAACUGUGGUAAAGGGAAUACAUCAGAAGUAACACUUGGCUCACUAAAUUUUAUUUGAAUUAGGUGUCAAGUAAGCUAAGACGUGCAGGAGACAGCUGAUGGGGUAUGAAUUAAAUUUUAGGUUCUGCUCAUCAUUUGUUAGAAAUGGAAAUCAGUUUUCAAUAGUAUUCUCAUGUAUAAUUAAAACACAGAGCUAUGUAAUGUUUGGUA
rnacentral:lncRNA from 1 species